GUCUUGUUGAUAUUUUUAUAUCAAGUCUGGCCUGCUCAAUGAUAUAUAAUUUAUUUAAUAGCCGCAGUAUUUUGACUGUGCAAAGGUAGCAUAAUCAUUUGUCUUUUAAUUGUAGGCUUGUAUGAAUGGUUUGAUGAAAUACUUACUUUCCUUAAAUUACAAUUAAAUUAAUAGAAUUUAAUAUUUGAGUCAAAAAGCUUAAAUAUAGUCGUAGGACGAGAAGACCCUGUAGAAUUUUAUUAUAAUUUGAAUAGUUGGUUUUUGGUAUUAAUAUUAAUCAUCUAUAAUUCAUUAUAAUUGUGUUGGGGUGACAGGGAAAUUUACUUAACUUUCUUUAUUAUAUUAUUUACAUAUGAGUAUUGAUAAUGAUCCUAUUUUAUGGAUAAUAAGAUUAAAUUACCUCAGGGAUAACAGCGUAAUUCUUUUGGAGAGUUCUUAUCGAUAAUGGAGUUUGCGACCUCGAUGUUGGAUUAAAAUAAGCUUUAAGUGCAGUAGCUUAAUUGCUAGGUCUGUUCGACCUUUAAUAUUUUACA
rnacentral:rRNA from 1 species